rnacentral:ncRNA from 2 species
AAUCAAAUACAGGGGAGCUUGUGAAGCAGGCUGAGAGGAAGUACUUAAACUUCGACCCUUUUACCUGAUGCGGAUAAUGCCGCCGUAGGAAGUCAGAAUGGAUGAUUU